rnacentral:rRNA from 1 species
AAGUUGACCGCCUGGGGAGUACGGCCGCAAGGUUAAAACUCAAAUGAAUUGACGGGGGCCCGCACAAGCGGUGGAGCAUGUGGUUUAAUUCGAUGCAACGCGAAGAACCUUACCUACCCUUGACAUGUAGUGAACUUACCAGAGAUGGUUUGGUGCCUUCGGGAACACUAACACAGGUGCUGCAUGGCUGUCGUCAGCUCGUGUCGUGAGAUGUUGGGUUAAGUCCCGUAACGAGCGCAACCCUUAUCCUUAGUUGCUAGCAGGUAAUGCUGAGAACUCUAGGGAGACUGCCAGUGAUAAACUGGAGGAAGGUGGGGACGACGUCAAGUCAUCAUGGCCCUUAUGGGUAGGGCUACACACGUGCUACAAUGGUCGGUACAGAGGGCCGCAAACUCGCGAGAGUAAGCAAAUCCCAGAAAGCCGAUCUUAGUCCGGAUUGCAGUCUGCAACUCGACUGCAUGAAGUUGGAAUCGCUAGUAAUCGCGGAUCAGAAUGCCGCGGUGAAUACGUUCCCGGGCCUUGUACACACCGCCCGUCACACCAUGGGAGUGGGUUGCAAAAGAAGUAGGUAGUCUAACCUUCGGGAGGGCGCUUACCACUUUGUGAUUCAUGACUGGGGUGAAGUCGUAACAAGGUA